UACUCCCGCCGGCGACCGGCGCACGGGUGAGUAACACGUAUGAAACCUGCCCGUAGCAGGGGGAUAAGCGGAAGAAAUUCCGUCUAAUACCGCGUAACAACCCGAGGAGGCAUCUCCUCGGGUUUAAAGGAAGCGAUUCCGGCUACGGAUGGUCAUGCGUCGCAUUAGCUAGUUGGCGGGGUAACGGCCCACCAAGGCGACGAUGCGUAGGGGUUCUGAGAGGAAGGUCCCCCACACUGGUACUGAGACACGGUCCAAACUCCUACGGAAGGCAGCAG
rnacentral:rRNA from 1 species